GCGAAAAGAACCCCGGCGAGGGGAGUGAAAAAGAACCUGAAACCGUGUACGUACAAGCAGUGGGAGCCUCUUUAUGGGGUGACUGCGUACCUUUUGUAUAAUGGGUCAGCGACUUAUAUUCUGUAGCAAGGUUAACCGAAUAGGGGAGCCGAAGGGAAACCGAGUCUUAACUGGGCGUUAAGUUGCAGGGUAUAGACCCGAAACCCGGUGAUCUAGCCAUGGGCAGGUUGAAGGUUGGGUAACACUAACUGGAGGACCGAACCGACUAAUGUUGAAAAAUUAGCGGAUGACUUGUGGCUGGGGGUGAAAGGCCAAUCAAACCGGGAGAUAGCUGGUUCUCCCCGAAAGCUAUUUAGGUAGCGCCUCGUGAAUUCAUCUCCGGGGGUAGAGCACUGUUUCGGCAAGGGGGUCAUCCCGACUUACCAACCCGAUGCAAACUGCGAAUACCGGAGAAUGUUAUCACGGGAGACACACGGCGGGUGCUAACGUCCGUCGUGAAGAGGGAAACAACCCAGACCGCCAGCUAAGGUCCCAAAGUCAUGGUUAAGUGGGAAACGAUGUGGGAAGGCCCAGACAGCCAGGAUGUUGGCUUAGAAGCAGCCAUCAUUUAAAGAAAGCGUAAUAGCUCACUGGUCGAGUCGGCCUGCGCGGAAGAUGUAACGGGGCUAAACCAUGCACCGAAGCUGCGGCAGCGACACUAUGUGUUGUUGGGUAGGGGAGCGUUCUGUAAGCCUGCGAAGGUGUACUGUGAGGUAUGCUGGAGGUAUCAGAAGUGCGAAUGCUGACAUAAGUAACGAUAAAGCGGGUGAAAAGCCCGCUCGCCGGAAGACCAAGGGUUCCUGUCCAACGUUAAUCGGGGCAGGGUGAGUCGACCCCUAAGGCGAGGCCGAAAGGCGUAGUCGAUGGGAAACAGGUUAAUAUUCCUGUACUUGGUGUUACUGCGAAGGGGGGACGGAGAAGGCUAUGUUGGCCGGGCGACGGUUGUCCCGGUUUAAGCGUGUAGGCUGGUUUUCCAGGCAAAUCCGGAAAAUCAAGGCUGAGGCGUGAUGACGAGGCACUACGGUGCUGAAGCAACAAAUGCCCUGCUUCCAGGAAAAGCCUCUAAGCAUCAGGUAACAUCAAAUCGUACCCCAAACCGACACAGGUGGUCAGGUAGAGAAUACCAAGGCGCUUGAGAGAACUCGGGUGAAGGAACUAGGCAAAAUGGUGCCGUAACUUCGGGAGAAGGCACGCUGAUAUGUAGGUGAAGUCCCUCGCGGAUGGAGCUGAAAUCAGUCGAAGAUACCAGCUGGCUGCAACUGUUUAUUAAAAACACAGCACUGUGCAAACACGAAAGUGGACGUAUACGGUGUGACGCCUGCCCGGUGCCGGAAGGUUAAUUGAUGGGGUUAGCGGUAACGCGAAGCUCUUGAUCGAAGCCCCGGUAAACGGCGGCCGUAACUAUAACGGUCCUAAGGUAGCGAAAUUCCUUGUCGGGUAAGUUCCGACCUGCACGAAUGGCGUAAUGAUGGCCAGGCUGUCUCCACCCGAGACUCAGUGAAAUUGAACUCGCUGUGAAGAUGCAGUGUACCCGCGGCAAGACGGAAAGACCCCGUGAACCUUUACUAUAGCUUGACACUGAACAUUGAGCCUUGAUGUGUAGGAUAGGUGGGAGGCUUUGAAGUGUGGACGCCAGUCUGCAUGGAGCCGACCUUGAAAUACCACCCUUUAAUGUUUGAUGUUCUAACGUUGGCCCCUGAUCGGGGUUGCGGACAGUGUCUGGUGGGUAGUUUGACUGGGGCGGUCUCCUCCUAAAGAGUAACGGAGGAGCACGAAGGUUGGCUAAUCCUGGUCGGACAUCAGGAGGUUAGUGCAAUGGCAUAAGCCAGCUUGACUGCGAGCGUGACGGCGCGAGCAGGUGCGAAAGCAGGUCAUAGUGAUCCGGUGGUUCUGAAUGGAAGGGCCAUCGCUCAACGGAUAAAAGGUACUCCGGGGAUAACAGGCUGAUACCGCCCAAGAGUUCAUAUCGACGGCGGUGUUUGGCACCUCGAUGUCGGCUCAUCACAUCCUGGGGCUGAAGUAGGUCCCAAGGGUAUGGCUGUUCGCCAUUUAAAGUGGUACGCGAGCUGGGUUUAGAACGUCGUGAGACAGUUCGGUCCCUAUCUGCCGUGGGCGCUGGAGAACUGAGGGGGGCUGCUCCUAGUACGAGAGGACCGGAGUGGACGCAUCACUGGUGUUCGGGUUGUCAUGCCAAUGGCACUGCCCGGUAGCUAAAUGCGGAAGAGAUAAGUGCUGAAAGCAUCUAAGCACGAAACUUGCCCCGAGAUGAGUUCUCCCUGACUCCUUGAGAGUCCUGAAGGAACGUUGAAGACGACGACGUUGAUAGGCCGGGUGUGUAAGCGCAGCGAUGCGUUGAGCUAACCGGUACUAAUGAACCGUGAGG
rnacentral:rRNA from 1 species